rnacentral:lncRNA from 1 species
CCAUUGAAAUUAAGCGUAUAGUGUGUGCGAUUAAGGGCGCAGAAGAAUGGGGACGGGCGAACGCAUCAGCGUCGGCCCAGAAAGGGCGCAGGUGGACUCUCACGUGGACCUGAAACGGGCGCCUCAUGACGAAAACGACCUAAAGCGGGCACCCCACUCUAAGCCGCCCUUUACACUGGGUCAGCUCAAGAAAGCCAUUCCUGCAAACUGCUUCAAACGGUCGGCUGCUCACUCCUUCUAUUUUUUGCUCUAUGACCUAGCCAUGAUAUUCACUCUUUACUACUUGGCCAAUACGCUGAUUCCACUCCUGCCAACACCUUUACGGUUGAUAGCAUGGCCAUUGUACUGGGCGGCGCAGGGGUGCGUGAUGACGGGGGUGUGGGUACUGGCGCACGAAUGCGGGCAUCAAGCUUUCAGCGAGUACCAGUGGCUGGAUGAUGCGGUCGGUUUCGUGCUCCAUUCGGCGCUGCUGGUGCCGUACUUCUCGUGGAAGUACUCCCACGCAAGGCACCACGCCAACACGGCCUCCCUGGAGCGCGACGAAGUCUUCGUGCCACGUCGGCGGGAGCACCUCCAGUGGUACUUCAAGUACCUCAUCGUCUCGCCCACCGGCAGGCUCUUCGGCCUCUUGGGAGCUCUUCUCUUCGGCUGGCCGCUCUACCUCGCCUUCAACGUCACUGGCCGGUAAGUCAGAAGGUCUGGACACACGAUCAAAUUCCGAACCAAUUCUGAUCAAAGUAGACCACUUGAUGACUGGUGGUCACCAUGCAACAGUCUUCUUUGAUCAAAAUUGGACGGGCCGUCAAAUUUUGAUCAGAAUGGAGUGCCACCAUUCAUCAUUUCCUGCCACAGGAAUCAUUUCUGCCAAGUUUCCAUUUUAAAAUUAAGCAAAUUAAUUAUUUUAAGACUGAUGACUCCUUACACUUUGAUGGUAAUUUGCUCGGGAAUUUGAUCGUUUAUCGAGACCUAAUAGAGCUUUUUGCCCCGAUGAGGCUGCCGCUGUCUACACUGCCAAGUGUCUAUACUGCCGUGUUAAGGAAAAACGCCGUAUGAAAAUUCGAGAGUUGCCAAAUUUCCUUCAAUAA